AGGUCCGGCGUAGAGGGUAAGACCCCCGUAGCUGAAACAUUGACGGCUCACUUGAAUUAUUCCCAAGUAGCACGGGGCCCGAGAAAUCCUGUGUGAAUCUGGCGGGACCACCCGCUAAGCCUAAAUAUUCCCUGGUGACCGAUAGCGGAUAGUACCGUGAGGGAAUGGUGAAAAGUACCGCGGGAGCGGAGUGAAAUAGUACCUGAAACCGUGUGCCUACAAGCCGUGGGAGCGUCGCGCA
rnacentral:rRNA from 1 species